rnacentral:rRNA from 1 species
UACGUAGGUGGCAAGCGUUGUCCGGAUUUACUGGGCGUAAAGAGCGCGUAGGCGGUCGUUCAAGUCGCGUGUGAAAGCCCCCGGCUCAACUGGGGAGGGUCACGCGAUACUGAUCGACUCGAAGGCAGGAGAGGGAAGUGGAGUUCCCGGUGUAGUGGUGAAAUGCGUAGAUAUCGAGAGGAACACCAGUGGCGAAGGCGACUUCCUGGCCUGUUCUUGACGCUGAGGCGCGAAAGCUAGGGGAGCAAACGGG